UACGGAGGGUGCAAGCGUUAAUCGGAAUUACUGGGCGUAAAGGGUUUGUAGGUGGUUAGAUAAGUUAUCUGUGAAAGCCCCGGGCUCAACCUGGGAAGGUCAGAUAAGACUGUUUGACUCGAGUAUAGGAGAGGGUAGUGGAAUUUCCGGUGUAGCGGUGAAAUGCGUAGAGAUCGGAAGGAACACCAGUGGCGAAGGCGGCUACCUGGCCAGAUACUGACACUGAAAAACGAAAGCGUGGGGAGCAAACAGGAUUAGAUACCCUGGUAGUCCACGCCGUAAACGAUGUCAACUAGUUGUUGGUGAUAUGAAUAUCAUUAGUGACGAAGCUAACGCGAUAAGUUGACCGCCUGGGGAGUACGGUCGCAAGAUUA
rnacentral:rRNA from 1 species